AACGAACGCUGGCGGCAGGCCUAACACAUGCAAGUCGAGCGGACCCUUCGGGGUUAGCGGCGGACGGGUGAGUAACGCGUGGGAAUAUGCCCUUCUCUACGGAAUAGUCCUGGGAAACUGGGGGUAAUACCGUAUACGCUCUUUGGGGGAAAGAUUUAUCGGGGUAGGAUUAGCCCGCGUUGGAUUAGGUAGUUGGUGGGGUAAUGGCCUACCAAGCCGACGAUCCAUAGCUGGUUUGAGAGGAUGAUCAGCCACACUGGGACUGAGACACGGCCCAGACUCCUACGGGAGGCAGCAGUGGGGAAUCUUAGACAAUGGGGGCAACCCUGAUCUAGCCAUGCCGCGUGAGUGAUGAAGGCCUUAGGGUUGUAAAGCUCUUUCAGCUGGGAAGAUAAUGACGGUACCAGCAGAAGAAGCCCCGGCUAACUCCGUG
rnacentral:rRNA from 1 species